GAGACGAGGCUCCUGGGAACCGGCAGAGGCAAUGUUGGCAUCAGAGCAGUGACGUCACUGCCUAACCUCCAACCAGAGAACGGACGCCCAGAACGUCAGCUCUCAGAGAACCCGAGCGCGGAGCAAGGAGACGCAUGCCCAGUUCUGCCCUUCCCUGCCAUGCGCUCCAUCCUCUUCUGCUAUGUGGCCCUUUGUCUCCUGGGAGCAGGCCGAGCGGAUUCUCGAGUCACCCAAACACCGAGACAUCUGAUUAAAGCAAGAGGACAGCAAAUGACACUGAGAUGUUCCCCUGUCUCUGGGCACCGCAGUGUGUAUUGGUACCAACAGGCCCUGAAUCAGGGCCCCCAGUUCCUCUUUGAGUUUUAUGACCAAAAGCAAAGCGCCGAAGGAAACGUCUCGGAUCGAUUCUCAGUACAACAGCCCAGUAACUCUCUCUCUGAGCUGACCGUGAACUUCUUGGAGCUGAGGGACUCCGCCCUGUACCUCUGUGCCAGCAGCCUGGCACAGCCCUGCUGGGUCACCAGCCUUCUGUACACAAACCUCCGUGCCCCAGUGAGGAGCAACUUCAGAGCUGACAGAUCCGUGAGAGCCCAGAAACUUCAGUGGGAAAGACCGCUGGGCCCUAGGGCUCCAAUGCCAUUCAGGCAGGGAUAACAGAGGACAAGGACAUCUGUUCAGGGGAACAGCGAGGCCUUAUAACAACUGGCAUCACCUGGAGGCCAGUCCCAGGUGCGAUCACUGCACAAAUGCUGUGAUGAUGGUGUGAGAAGCCUGGAGUUGAUUUCUGACUUUGCUUCCUGACCUCUUACCUCGGUCCUGCCCCCACAG